CCUGACUCACCCAGGACUAGUCUUGACAUUCAGAGCUCAACUCACACCCUGGGUUGUGUCCAAGCCCUCGAUUCUGUUUGGCUCAGAUGGCCCCACGCUCCCCGGGGCAGAGCCGUCCCGAGGCAGCCUCUGCUUUCAUGAUGCUGUGUCUCUGUGUGUUGGGGUGUGUGGCCGUGGAGGGGCUGUGGUCACAGAGGAGCCAACCAGGAGCACUGAAGGCUGCCCGUAGCCAUGGAGACAGGGCCCCUGGGCCAGCCAGGCCCGGGCUGGUCAGUGAAUGAAUAAACGUGGCCCAUUUUUCUGCCUUUGUCCGGAGCCUCCCUGGGGCUUCCUGCUGUCAGCCCCAGCUGUGGGGAAGGCGGAAUUUGCCUGAUAUCGCGGAGCCGCCGCCUGGCAGCGCUGAGCCUGGCCCGGGCCGCCCCACGCCAAGAUUCAUGCCCGGCUAACAAGCCCCACUUUGUUCCUGUGGGAAAGUCCAGCCUCUCAGGAAAGAGCCCUCUCUCCGGCCGGCCCCUGGUCUGGGGACUCAGUGAAGCAAACAAAGCCUCCAUCCGCUGGCAACGAUUCUCAGGCCCCAAAGUCCACCUCCGUUCCCUGGCCGGGGAGGAGCUGCUCUGGGAGGUGGAAUUCCAGCACAUCCCUUUGUCCCACUCAUCUGGGAGGCCUGAGAUGCCACCUGUCUGGUUCAGUUCUAAAGACCACUGGCCCAUCUGGACUGUCCUGGACAUUCUGGCUGCAGCCUGUCUAUUUGGCAGGUGCAAGAAACUGCUACCAAUCCACCCCAGCCUCUUCUUGAGUGUUCACUGCUAGAUCAACCCUGUGGACAGCCAAUUCCUAUAUGGAUCAUCCCCAUAAAAGUGGUUCCCAAACCUGGCUGCCCGUUGGAAUCAUGAGGGGGAUGUGGAGAGCAUUUAGAAAAUGCCCAUGUUUGUUCUGCCAACAGAGAUGGUAAGGAUAUUGGUCUGGGGUGCAGCUUGGCCACCAGGAUGGCCUUAAAAGUUCCGCAGCUGAUUCUAAUGUGCAGCUAAAAUGAUGAACGCUGACCUAGAAGGACAAGACAGUGGCCCCGUGGACUAUCUCCUUCUUUAAAAUGGACAAUUCACUUGGUAUUAAAGGCUCUGACACCCUGCAGUAAAAACGCCUGUUUAGCGCAGUGUUCCCAAACUUAUUUAACCAUGGAACCCUUUCCUCUCCCAACAACUGUUGACAUUGGAAAAAUAACAUUCUGCAGAACACACGCUAGGGCAUGCCGGGGAUGGAGCAUUGACGGAGCCAGGGGUAUAUGGAAUGAAGAGGUUUCAGACAAGCCAUCCUUUAGGGUGAGAAGGUCCUGGGAGUACUAGAAACAAAAGCUCUAUAGAGGCAGAACUCAUUCUGACCUUUCCCCAUCAUGAAGAUUGUAUUGUUGAUCAAAAAAUCCACUCUCCAUAUGCUGACCACUGGCUUGGCUAUGUGACUUGCUCUGACUAAUGAAAUACAAUAAUAACGACAUUUAUCCCUUCUGGGUUGAAGCUUUAAAAGCUGUUGCCUGACACCAUUGAGUUCUCUGGUUUCCUUUCAUCAUGAGACCUCAACAUCCCUGAUAGAGGGUACUCCCUUAACCCAGGUCCCAGGGUAAAGGAGACACAGAACAGAGUACAGCCAAUCCCCCAUGGACAAGUAACUUCAGCAAGAAAGAAAUCUUUGUAGUUGUAAGCCACUGAUAUUUGGGGACUCACUUGUUACCACAGCAUAGCAUAGCUUACACUGACCGAUGCACUCAUGGACAUGGUUCUG
ensembl:lincRNA